rnacentral:misc_RNA from 1 species
UGGUUCUGGCAUCGAUGAAGAACGCAGCGAAAUGCGAUAAGUAAUGUGAAUUGCAGAAUUCAGUGAAUCAUCGAAUCUUUGAACGCACAUUGCGCCCCUUGGCAUUCCGGGGGGCAUGCCCGUUCGAGCGUCAUUACACCCAUCAAGCCUCGCUUGGUUUUGGGCCGCAGGGUCGCCCUCGGCCUCAAUGUCUCCGGCGGGAGUGCUCUGAUCCCAGCGUUGUGGUUUAAUCAAUUCGCUGGCGGGACGGGUCUCUCGGCCGUAAACCAUCUUCUCAGGUUGACCUCGGAUCGGGUAGGGAUACCCGCUGA